CACAUGCAAACAAAUCUCCUUCAGACACAUCAGACGCCACAGACCUAGAAUUCUGUAAUUAACUGCUUUGAUCGAACGCGUCGGACACAUUCUCUGUUGUGGCGACGGAGACUGAUGGGCGAGGGGCAGCGAGGAACAGAGAGCCAUAUGCGAAUUGCAGCCUGUUUCAUCAUGCAGGGAGAUGGCGAGACAGCCUGGCUUCACUCCACCGCCAUGUGGGUUCAAGGCCUGCCCAGCCACCGCCUCCGAGACCAUGGCGUUCACUCCAUCACCCCACACAGCCCUUAUCCCCACCCUCACAAAGACCCCACCGCAUCCCGGUCUGGGCUAUGACAUCACCCUCUAAGAGAGAUAUUGACGUUUAGCGUUUACUGUAUUCCGCUGUGUGUAACUGGAACGGUUUUGUGUUUUUACAUGGACUAUGCAACAGGAGAUCCUCUUUCUGUCCAUAAUCCAGGUGUAAUUAUCCACUCUAGACUGACUGAUUACAUCACUACGCUUUGGGUUAUUUAAUCUCGUUCAGUUUAUGGAAUCAUAUGAGAGGAUUUCAACCGCUCUCCGCUGGAUUUCAUCAGUGACCGGAAUAUUACCUCGUCAUUUCUGGCAUUAACACACCGUCAACAGAUAAAACUUUUGGAUUUAGCCCAGAUUCUGAUGGAGAGGGCAGCUGCCAUGCGCUUCUCACUGUGCCUCAUCAGAAAAGUCACUUUCGCAGCUAGUGAAAGCGGAUGGAGAACCAGAUUGAAAGUCUCCUAUGCUGAUCACGAUGUGAACGCAGUGCAGCGCUUAAGUUUUCUACAUUCCAAAGAUGAACAAAGGUCUUACGGGUUUGGGACGACAUGAGGGCCUUGAAAUUGGUUAUGAUGUUGCUGUCUAUAGGUCAGAAAGCUCUCAGAUUUCAUUAAAAAUAUCUCCGAAGAUGAACGAAGGUCUUAUGGGUUUGGAACAACAUGAGGCACUCCCAGAGGGAGAGUUCAGACGGCUCCCAGACAGAGAGAAGAUGAAAGACUGACUGUCUGUGCUUUGAACAAGUUAUGUCAAGUCUACAGAUUAUCCAGUAAAACAGAUUGCUCUGGCACUCACCGCAUCAAACUGGAAGAAAAAGUCAUCCGGUUUGCUCUCCACUGGAUCGAUGUCUGCCUUCACUUCCACCAUUGGGUUGAGGAACUGAGCUCUCUCCAGAGAGGCCUGAGCCUGGUUCUGACCAUCUGCAUC